UGAUAAAAAACUAAGGGAAGGGAUCCCAGAAGGAAUAUCAUGAUUUUCCCCUUCACAUAUUUUCAGCAGUGCCUGGUUAACUCUGUCUCUUUUUUGCUCAAGUCAGAGGGAAAUAAUGUGAUGUUUAAAGACUUCAGUGAUCAUCUAGUUAUCGCCUUCUACCUGCUAGAUAAAUAAACUGCACCUCUGACAGCUAACUUAGCUGGGCCCAAAUCGUUUGUUGCUGGAAGAGGCAGAGCUAAUGACCCUUCCUUUUCCCAUCAGCCCUUGCUCCAGUUAUGACCAACUGAACACUCACUUGGCCAGCUGGUGGCUCCACGCCCAGACGCCAGCUUCUCCACUGCCAUUGGUUUGUGAACUGUCCGUGUGUUUGAGCAAAGUUGAAAGGAAAAAUAAAGGAAAACUGAGGAUCCAGAGGAGAAGACAGAACCUGCUGACCAGCUCCAUUUUCUUUCAGCACCAGUCGAAACAGUUCCCCCUUUGCUCUGUUCCACCAUCCUCAACUCUCUUCAGGGCUGGCUGGCUCUCCACACACUUUGAGAAUUGUGACUCUGCUUGUGGGUUGGAAUCCCACAGGUAUGGAGCCCAAGGUGAAACCACCCUUCUGGGAGAGAUGACAAGAAGCUCAGGAAUCCCUGGGCUAGAGACAUUUUCUCCCGAGCAACAGCCGAGUUCCUGAUUCCUGUUGCAUAACCGGGCUGCACGAUCUUUCCAGAAGCCAUGGGCAGAGGAACGCGCAGAGCACCGGUUGAGUCUUGCAUGAAGGAAAGAAGUGAGCUGUGCUUGUUGGCACUCCAGGGAAGUGGAGGUAGAAGGGACAAGCGG
rnacentral:lncRNA from 1 species